GAUGAACGCUAGCGGCAGGCCUAAUACAUGCAAGUCGAGGGGCAGCAUCAACUUCGGUUGGAUGGCGACCGGCGCACGGGUGCGUAACGCGUAUGCAACCUACCCUUUACCGGGGGAUAGCCCAGAGAAAUUUGGAUUAAUACCCUAUGGUACCUUUAGAUGGCAUCUGAAGAAGGUUAAAGAUUUAUCGGUAAAGGAUGGGCAUGCGUGCCAUUAGCUAGUUGGUAAGGUAACGGCUUACCAAGGCUACGAUGGCUAGGGGUUCUGAGAGGAUGAUCCCCCACACUGGCACUGAGAUACGGGCCAG
rnacentral:rRNA from 1 species